CUUUACCUGGCACAUUGCGAUCCAGCAACUCCUUGUGCCGGGCUGGGUGCCUGAAGGCUGACAUCAGUCGUCAGUUGAACUGUGUUUCCUCCGACACAUUUGUGCUGCUAGCUUCCGGGUUAAGUGAACGGGUGUUAAGAAGCGUGGCUUGACGGGUCAUGUUUCGUAUGAUGCAUGACUCGACCUUCGCCUCUCCAGAGCCCGUUGGGGAGUUGCAGCGGUGAGACAAGAUCGUAAUUGGAUAUCAAGAAAAAAUGAAAUCCUGCGACUAGUGAUGUCCAGCCGCCCAACAACCUGCCCACUUGAACCAAUCCCCUCCUCCCUUAUCUAGACCAUCUCUGGAGACCUCCCAUUCCUCAUCAACUCAUCCCUGACCACUGGCUGACUUCAAGAGAACCCAAGCCUUUACUCCUAUGAUGUCAACUACAGACCAUCAAGAUUCAAGGCGGCUCACUCAACUGACAUUGCGCUCCUCUGUCACAGAGGCUCUCCGCUCUGCCAAAGCAGACUCUCUCUCUCUCUUCUGUCCUCAUCCUCCUAAGUCUAUCCACUGCCUUUAACAAUGUGAACCAUCAGAUCCUCCUCUCCAACCUUUCAGGGUUGGGCAUCUCAGGCUCUGCACACGUCUUGAAUGCAUCCAACCUAGCAGGUCGCUCCUGAAUUGACUAAUUGUAAGUUGCUUUGGAUAAGAGUGUUUGCUACAUGACCAACAUGUUAAAAAAAAGUCAAGGUAUUGGAGUGGCCAUCACAAAGGCCUUACCUCAAUCCAAUAGAAAAUGUGUGGGAAGAAAUGAAAAAGCGUGUGCGAGCAAGGAGGCCUACACCAUCUCUGUCAGAGGAAUGGGCCAAAAUGCAUCCAACUUACUGUGGGAAGCUUGUGGGAGGCUACCUGAAACAUUUGACCUAAGUUAAACAAUUUAAAGACAAUGCUACCAAAUACUAAUUGAGUGUAUGUAAACUGACCCAUUGGGAA
ensembl:lncRNA